AUUGAACGCUGGCGGCAGGCCUAACACAUGCAAGUCGAACGAGUGGCGGACGGGUGAGUAAUGCCUGGGAACCUGCCCGAUGGUGGGGGAUAACUACUGGAAACGGUAGCUAAUACCGCAUACUAUCGGAUCUGCCCAGAUGGGAUUAGCUAGUGGGUGGGGCAACGGCUCACCCAGGCGACGAUCCCUAGCUGGUCUGAGAGGAUGACCAGCCACACUGGGACUGAGACACGGGCCAGACUCCUACGGGAGGCAGCAGUGGGGAAUAUGGCACAAUGGGCGCAAGCCUGAUGCAGCCAUGCCGCGUGUAUGAAGAAGGCCUUCGGGUUGUAAAGUACUUUCGGCAGGGAGGCGGUACUCGAAGAAGAAGCACCGGCUAACUCCGUGCCAGCAGCCGCGGUAAUAG
rnacentral:rRNA from 1 species